UACCUGUUCACUACCCUUUCCGCAGCCC
rnacentral:piRNA from 1 species